rnacentral:misc_RNA from 1 species
AAAAAAAAGAAAAAAAAAAGAAGCAAAGUAGUGGGCAACCCGAUCGCGCGUACAACUCGAGGCUCCGCAUCGGAGUGCUACCUCCACGAUUUGCCUUACUCUUCAAUUUGGUCCUCAAGGACGUCAUUAGCCGCGGCCGCUUCUUCUAGUCGAUUCUCUGCAAGCACGACGAGGUUUUGGUCCUCGUUAAGGUCUAUUUCAAGCGCGGCGAUUUCAUCAAUCUCAGAGAGUACGAGCGCCGCCUCGAACACAUCAAGGAAACCUUCCUUGCCCUUGACCACUCCCAUAUCUGGCCGUUUCAGGUCCAACAUUUUUCCAUUUUCUCUUCCCUCUUUUUCUCUGUUUGGGAUUAGGAUUUCUAGCGUUUUGUUUUGGUUGCUGGGGAAACAUUGCAAAUUAAGAAAAAUUUUCAAGUUUAGAUAAGUUUGAUAUGCUUCUGUAAGGUUCACUUGAAUGGAAUUUUAAUUGGUGACCAUUUAGGUACAGUGCGUUAGGAAAGCGCGGGAAGGAGGUGAGUAGUUCUUAUUCUUUGUGCUUUGUGUUGUUUUUUCGUUUUAUGAAUGUAAGAAUUUUUUUUUUUCUUAAACAAUGGUUAUAAAUCUAAAUUAGAGAAUUUAUUGUCUUGUUUGCUUAGGGAAUUGACAAUUUGAAUCUUAGACUUUAGAGACUGAAAGCUCUGUUGAAUAUUACAGAGCUGUAUAGUUGAGUAGACUUAGGGAUGAAAACGGGUAGGAAAUCUGUAAAUUUUAAAAUAUCUAAUUCUGAACCUAUUUAAUAUAUAAACCAGCCUGAAUACGUCCCAAACUUAAAUAAAAUAUAUUUUUUAUUACCCAAUCUGAAUCUGAUUACUAAUACUGUAUACUAUUCGAACCAGACCAAAUCCAUUAUUUUAUUAUGCAUUUUUGCUGAAAAAUUAAAAAAAAAGUAUCCAAACGGAAACAUGAUUAGAAAGCAUUCAAGCUAUUGAAGUCAUUCACCAAUCUAUUUGCCUCUG